AUUGAACGCUGGCGGCAGGCCUAACACAUGCAAGUCGAGCGAGCGGAGGACGGGUGAGUAAUGUAUGGGGACUGCCCGAUAGAGGGGGAUAACUACUGGAAACGUUGGCUACUACCGCAUACUAUCGGAUAACCCAUAUGGGAUUAGCUAGUAGGUGGGGUAAAGGCUCACCUAGGCGACGAUCCCUAGCUGGUCUGAGAGGAUGAUCAGCCACACUGUGACUGAGACACGGCCCAGACGCUUACGGAGGCAGCAGUGGGGAAUAUUGCACAAUGGGCGCAAGCCUGAUGCAGCCAUGCCGCGUGUAUGAAGAAGGCUUUAGGGUUGUAAAGUACUGUCAGCGAGGAGGCGUUACUCGCAGAAGAAGCACCGGCUAACUCCGUGCCAGCAGCCGCGGUAAUAC
rnacentral:rRNA from 1 species